rnacentral:tRNA from 2 species
GGGGGUAUAGCUCAGGGGUAGAGCAUUUGACUACAGAUCAAGAGGUCCCUUGUUCAAAUCUAGGUGCCCCCU